rnacentral:rRNA from 1 species
GAUGAACGCUAGCUACAGGCUUAACACAUGCAAGUCGAGGGGUAACGAGAGGAAAGCUUGCUUUCCUUGUCGACGACCGGCGCACGGGUGAGUAACACGUAUCCAACCUGCCCCCAACUAGGGAAUAACCUUGCGAAAGUAAGACUAAUACCCUAUAAUUUCCUCAGAUGUCAUCUGACGAGGAAUAAAGAUUUAUCGGUUGUGGAUGGGGAUGCGUCUGAUUAGCUUGUUGGCGGGGUAACGGCCCACCAAGGCAACGAUCAGUAGGGGUUCUGAGAGGAAGGUCCCCCACAUUGGAACUGAGACACGGUCCAAACUCCUACGGGAAGCAGCAGUGAGGAAUAUUGGUCAAUGGGCGGAAGCCUGAACCAGCCAAGUAGCGUGCAGGAUGACGGCCCUAUGGGUUGUAAACUGCUUUUAUACAGGAAUAAAGUUAGCCACGUGUGGUUAUUUGUAGGUACUGUAUGAAUAAGGACCGGCUAAUUCCGUGCCAGCCGCCGCAGUAA